rfam:Apaloderma vittatum contig9836, whole genome shotgun sequence.
GGGCCGAUUAGCUCAGGAGUUUGAGUGCGGUGCUGGCAUCAAGGACUAACACCGAGGUCGCGGGUUCGAUUCCCACUCGGUCCC